rnacentral:lncRNA from 1 species
UGCAUUUUUAGAAGGAUUGAGCAGGUUACUCCAGCACAACAAAUAUAAUUGAAUAUGCAUGGCUCGUGGCUUACUGAUCUGCCACUACCAAUGUAUUAAUGUACUUUGGCAUUUUAUGUUGCAGGUUCACGUUGGCUCCGGCAUUCUAGUGAAAGCCGCAACGCUUCGCUACAUUAUGCGGAGCCAAAAUGAAACUAAGGUGGCGAGGGAAAUGGCGAGAUAUUUUUGGAAACCUACAGAGAUGCAGGAGAGGAGCCUGACAGGGCAGCCGUGCAGACGGCAGGCGGACAGCGUGGGCAAGCUCCAAGCCACGCCACAGAAAGCGGAUGCAAUAAUGAAUGUCAUCCAAAAGGUCAUUGAGGACCAUCCUUACGGCGUCGAGGUGGCCAAGAGGGUGGCACUCGGGCGCAAGGCUCUGCGCGACAUCUUCGCAGAGAUGGGCCGCUUAGGUCUCAGCAAGCGGACGCCAUGCUGAUGAGGCUAAGAUUUCUUUUUUUUUAUCAUUGGUGGAAGUGCUGUUGUAAAAAAUGUCUCCCCUUAAAAGGGGCCCUGCGACACUUUUUUCAGCAUGGUCAGAAAGUGCCGCCAAUCGGUAAUCGAGGCUCCUGAGAACUUGUGAGCCAAUCAUUAUGGCAUAGCAGGUGGCCUGGAAUUAACAGUCAAGUCUCAGUCAGCUAGAAGUCGUUCCCUCUUCUCUCUCAAAUAGUGCCGUAUACCCAAAUUUCACAGCCAUUUGCUGAUUGAGCAUCGUGAGCUAUAGUUACCAUGGUUGCCACGAGAAGCCACCAAGUGCCUGCGCCCGCGAUCACACUGAAAGUAAGCCACGCAUUCGGAGGAAAAAGUGUGCAUGAUGCAACUCCCCAUGCUAUUCCUCCGUGCUUAGCUUCCAGCGCACUCAUCAGGACGAGAGAAGAGAAAAAGCAAUUACAGCAUGCAACAAAUCUCCAGCUGCGUGUACUUGAAGGAUCGAUUUAAAGAUUUUUUUGAGGUGGUAAAGUGGUGAGGUAAUUAGCUCAUUCAAUGAAGCCAUUCGGCGGUUCCGGGGGCCAUUUAAAGGGACUGACAACCAAUUUUCAUGGUACCUAUUUUCUUUAGUGCAACGGAAAGCUCACCAGUUAGAGUGUCUAAUCGCGGAAUGGUAACGCGGAAAGCGCUGCGAAACAUUUGUAAUUAGCAUUUUUCCAUCUGCGGCGAAUAUGAAGUCAUAUACACACAAGACAACAUAUGCUGCAAACAGUGGGUACGAGAGCGGUUCGUGUUCGAGCACGGUGAGUUAUGCGCAUGCGUGCACUCUGCGCGCAUGUGCCGUGGCUCGACAUGGGCCACUGGUGGCUGCGCAGGCAGUGCCGCUUUUCACCGUGCAGCUCCUGUUACCUCGUAAGCAGCACAGAAUUGAGUGGGGCUGGGUAAUCACAUACAUACUCUAACUGAGGACUAAUUAUGGCACGCAUGACAGCGUCAAAGUACGUACAGUAAAGUGAUCGACUUCAUAAUCCAGCUUCAAGGCUCUUCCGCUAGGCUGCGCGACAUUCCAGUUUUCGUUACUUUUACACACGAUUUCAAAAUAUAAAUCCUACCCACAAUGCGAAAAGGAUGCUGGAUCGAACCUGUCGCUAUAUUAUACGGUCUCUUCAUUUAUACCAGGAUCUAAUCCCACGUUCUGGCCAGUUGUCGGUCCCUUUAACAGCAGCUUUUCUUUAUGCAGUUACAACAGCACUUUCACCUCUGAUUUAUUUGUUUGUUUGUUAUUGAUUAAUUAAUUUAUUUAUUUAUUUAUUUAUGUUAUAAAGGGCAAAAAUAAAGUUAUUGAUUGCAAUG